CUUAUUUUUCAACUGAAACUAAUUUGACGCCAGACAGUACCUUCUGGAAUCGGCGGCCUUUGGAAACUUCUAUUAUCCGGGAAGCUGUAGGGGGGGGAGGAGCUGAAGACUUUUAGAACUCACAGGUCAAGAGUAGGAAUAAUUGAAUCAUUACCUAAAGAUUUAUAAUUGAUAUCUUCUUCGUAGUGAGUUACAACGAAAAAUUAUUUUCUUAAAGCAUUGUUUUACACUUCUUCUCACCCCGGCUCUGAGAAGAUGGUAGCUUCCACAUCCCCCCCGCCUUUUUUUUUAAGAGUGCGGAAAUCUCGCGAUGGAAGGAGGAGGAGGUGCAGCCCCAGAACCACUUCAAGAGGAAAGCCAGGCACAGCCUGGGCUACCCCCCAGUCUUGAAGCCAACACUUUGAAGAAAAGCCGUUGGGGCUUGCUGCUUACGGGGAUUGUAGGUGGGACUCUCAUGGCUGUGUAUGCGGUAGCGACACCCUUUGUGACACCAGCACUCCGGAAAGUCUGUUUGCCCUUUGUACCUGCAACUACAAAGCAGAUCGAAAAUGUUGUGAAAAUGUUGCAGAGCAGAAGCGGAUCCCUGGUAGACAUUGGUAGUGGCGACGGCCGCAUUGUGGUAGCAGCUGCAAAAGCAGGGUUCACAGCUGUCGGUUAUGAACUAAAUCCGUGGCUGGUGUGGUACUCCAGGUACCGCGCUUGGCAAGAAGGUGUGCAUGGCUCCACCAAGUUCUAUAUUUCGGAUUUGUGGAAGGAGUUGGUGGAAACUCGCCAUCAGGACAAUAGCCGGCCGCCGCUCAGUGCUGGGAAACUUGGCUCUGCAGCUGAUGCACUCAGCAUUUCCCUGUCUCACGCAGGUCUCUUUCUCGCAGUACACGAACGUUGUUGUGUUCGGCGUGCCUCAGAUGGAACCAUCUAAUGAGUAAUAAAUAGAAUGUUUACAUCAGCUCCAGUUGACUCCCUACAUACCACACACUGAUGAUGAAAGGAAGAGGUGAAAAUGUCAUAUCAAGAUGGCCGCUGAGGUGAAAAGGUCAUACCAAGAUGGCCACUGACAACAGAAACUGCCUGGCAACAGGCCAUGAUUGGAUGGCUUCAGAAACUACAUGACAACAGAGGAAACCACAUGACAACAGAGCCUGACUGACAGCAGGCCGUGAUUGGAUGGCUUUGGAAACUGCCUGGCAAUAGGCUGUGAUUGGUUGGGGCAUAGACCGCUCCUUGACCGGAUUGGCUGGUCUUGGCUAUAUAAGCUGUUGUACUAACAAAUAAACGAGUCUGCGGGCUGCUUGCCUCAAGCCCGCUUGCCUCAAGCCCGCUUUCACCCAACUCCCGGGGUCUGUGUGGUGACUCCGCGCCUCUUGCCUCCACCAAUCCACUGCAACAUUGUUGAGAAAUCAACUGCAACAACGGAGAAGCCAGAUACUGUUGGGGUCUUAAGCCUGAGGCUAGCCCCUGACCAGCAGUGGCAGCACAAGCACUCCCCGACAAGGUGAACGGGAGAGAUGCCGCAGUUGGAGAAGAAACUUGGACUUGAACUUAAGGAUGAUGCAAGAGUCAUUGCGUGCAGGUUCCCUUUUCCACACUGGAGCCCGGACCAUGUCACUGGGGAGGGGACAGACACCGUGUGGGUGUACGACG